GUGGAGUGGUUUGUCUGUCUCAUUCUUUCUGUCUCCUUAACAGUGAGUCAACAUGAUCAGAAUUCUUAUCUCCAUCACCAUGGGUUACACAGCCUGGGCUGCAGGUUCUUCUCUCAGUAACCAGGUUGACCAAACACCUGCAUCCCUGUACAAGAACCAGGGAGAGUUGGCUAUGAUGGAGUGUUCACAUAGUAUAUCAGGCUAUAAUCUCAUCCUCUGGUACAAGCAGUCCAACUACAGAGAAUUAGUGCUAUUAGGAUACAUGACAGCGAAAACUGCAUUUCCUGAGGCUGGAUUUGAUAUAGAAGGAGAUGCUAAUGCAGGUGGUACCAGCACCUUAACCAUCAAACAACUAACUCCAAAUAGCAGUGCUGUGUAUUACUGUGCUGCUAGUUUACACAGUGCAUCAGAUCUCCCUCUCUGCUCUACAAAAACCUCCUCCCUGGUGUACUGCAGACUAAUCACACCUGUAUUAA
ensembl:lncRNA